rnacentral:rRNA from 1 species
GACGAACGCUGGCGGCGUGCUUAACACAUGCAAGUCGAACGCUGAAGCUCAGCUUUUGUUGGGUGGAUGAGUGGCGAACGGGUGAGUAACACGUGAGUAACCUGCCCCCUUCUUUGGGAUAACGCCCGGAAACGGGUGCUAAUACUGGAUAUUCACUGGUCUUCGCAUGGGGGUUGGUGGAAAGGGUUUUUCUGGUGGGGGAUGGGCUCGCGGCCUAUCAGCUUGUUGGUGGGGUGAUGGCCUACCAAGGCUUUGACGGGUAGCCGGCCUGAGAGGGUGAACGGUCACAUUGGGACUGAGAUACGGCCCAGACUCCUACGGGAGGCAGCAGUGGGGAAUAUUGCACAAUGGGCGCAAGCCUGAUGCAGCGACGCCGCGUAAGGGAUGGAGGCCUUCGGGUUGUGAACCUCUUUCGCUCAUGGUCAAGCCGCAACAAUGGUUGUGGUGAGGGUAGUGGGUAAAGAAGCGCCGGCUAACUACGUG